rnacentral:rRNA from 1 species
GCGCUUUGGCGUGAUAACGUGUUAAAUAUGCUAGCCCUUUCAUGAUUAUGUGAUAGGUGGUGCAUGGCCGUUCUUAGUUCGUGGAGUGAUCUGUCUGCUUAAUUGCGUUUCAAUAUGAACCUUCGAAUAAAUGCACUUCAGUGAGACAGUUUGACCCCUGGCUUCACCGUCAGCGCGUGUCUUUCUGUCAUAUUCGCUGUGUGCUAAGACGGUUCUGAAAGCAACGAACGUGACCGCAACCUCUUGUUGCCUGUAAACACCAGAGACUUUCACGUUUCUGUCAAACAGGCCAUUUAUAAUAAACUAGAGGGACCGCUGCUACUUUCUUAAACCAGAGGAAGGUUGCGGCAAUAACAGGUCUGUGAUGCCCUUAGAUGUUCCGGGCUGCACACGUGCUACAAUGAUUAUUGCAGUGAGCAUCUCAUAUUAUACGCCGCUUGCGUGAGCGUUUUAACCUUUCACGGUUACUACGGCUUCAUCGCGCGGUAAAGCCUGCUUCGAAAGUAAGUGGGUAAUCAAUUAGAAGUAAUGAUUUCCUUCUUUAUGCACAACAAUGUCCGGCACCAUGCCCCAGACUGAUACUCAUCUUUCCUGUGUGUGCGUAGUGGGUCCUUUUCGACCUUUUACCGUUCGUGCAAUUGUCAAUUCAUGGUGGGGACAGACCAUUGUUAAUUGUUGGUCUCGGUCUUAACUAGGAAUGCCUUGUACGGGUCUUUGGUUCAACAAACCACCCGGAAUACGUCCCUGCCCUUUGUGCACACCGCCCGUCGCUCUUACCGAUGGAUUUCUCUGUGAGUUUGAAGGACUGGCCUGCUUCAAGGCUAUGGAAAUUCAAACGAACAGUGUGAUCUAAAGGAAAGAGAAGUCGUAACAAGGCAUCGGUAGGUGAACCUGCAGAAGGAUCA